rnacentral:rRNA from 1 species
UACGUAGGCAGCAAGCGUUGUUCGGAGUUACUGGGCGUAAAGGGUGUGUAGGCGGUUCUUUAAGUUUGCUGUGAAAUCUCCCGGCUUAACCGGGAGGGUGCGGUGAAUACUGAGGGACUAGAGUACGGGAGAGGAAAGUGGAAUUCCUGGUGUAGCGGUGAAAUGCGUAGAUAUCGGGAAGAACAUCGGUGGCGAAAGCGCUCUACUGGACCACAACUGACACUCAGGGACGAAAGCUAGGGGAGCGAAUGGG